ACGUCUGCGUUGAAUGGGAAGAGUACUAUUAUGACGAAAUGUAGCGAGCUAGGGAUGGUGUGAGCCUAGUUUUAAGGAUAAUAGGAAAAUCACCCAGGAGCACUUUCAGUGAACGGUCCACUUAGUAGCUUAAAGCGAGUUAUUCACGUUACGAAUUCCAAGGAGAAUAGCGCGUAUGCUAUUUACUAGGGUGGUACCGCGGGAAAACCUUCUCGUCCCUUUU
rnacentral:ncRNA from 1 species